CUUUCCUCCUCCAUGCUCCAUCAGGGUCCCCCCUCCUCUCGCCAUGCAUCGACUCCCACUUCACUCCAGCAAGAAAGCGUCCGCUUACUACUCAUGAGACACACACACACGUGCUCACAUGUGUGCUUGUAGCCGUUUUUUCACCUGAUACUGAAACAGCAUUUGGACUCUGAAAGUCUUUGAACGCACCGCGUUGGACUUCAUUGUUCUGCACCAUCGCGUUCACUGAACCAGCACCUUCUUAAAGGCACUAAUGUGUAAGAACCUGUUCUGUACUGUAUAUACUGUAACACUGACAUGUGUGUGUGAGAGACUACUGUAAUUUAAACAUGCACUAAACACAGGUUGUCACAGCACUAUGGUUUUGAUAGCUACUGUUUGUGUAGACAUUAGGCGUUUUGAUACAUCUUUUUGAUAGUAGAUCUGUAUUUUUCACUCCUGAGGUUUAGUGAACUCAUAAUGGACUGUGAAAUAGUGUAGAACACAAACACUGGUGUUAAUGUUUUGGGUUUUUUUUUUUUCUUCUUCAAAAUAGAACAGAUUACCCGUGUUAUUAGAUUCUUGGGCUGCGGUCAAGACGUCCCCUAAUUUAUUUUCUCUGUUUAAGUUCUCUGAUCAAAAAAGCAUAACGUCAAAGAAAAUAUAGUUCUGUUACACUUUGCAUGACUUUGUGGCGCUCCGAAUAAAUCUUUGAUUUUGAAUGUAGUUGUUGACAUUAUGCGUCAUCACUGUACAGUUUACAGAAUAAUAUACUUUGUGCUUGAUGUCCAGGUUCUCCACAUAUAUACACAGUGUUAUUUGGCGGUUGUUUUAAGUUUUAUUUUACAGUAGAAGACUUUAAAAUCCUGAUGGCUGUCACUCACAGCUAAUGUUUAAAACCAAAUCAAUUUUGUUCUUCAAAUAUUUGAAAAAAUGUCACACAAGAAUCAAGGCUGCAAUUUUCUUCCUAAUAAGAGAAUAAAAUAAGGAGCUUCAUUUGUUUGGAAAUUAGUAUUAUAAAAAUCUAUAUAAAGAAGAUAUUGGUAGUAUCCUUGCAGCGUUACAUACAGUAUUAGAGUGGUACAUUUUGGUAAUAUAAUAAUAAGAAGUCAUUUUAAAAUAACCAGGACUGUGAACAUAAAACUUAAAAUAAAAUUCCACAAGACAAACAUUUUACUCCAUACACUACAUUUUAAGUAUAUAACAAGAAACUAUUACAAAAGACAGGUUUACUGAACAAAUGUAAUUUAAAUAAAUAAACUGUAGCAGCAUAAUAGAUAUUUACAAAUAAACACUUUUUCUUCUUUAAAAAAUAAAAUUAAAUGAGGUGUCCUCUUUUAUCAGACUUGUUUGUUAAAUGAGUUGAAUAGCCUGAAUAUUUAGCAUUUAAAGAACUCUAAACGUCGUUGCCUCAUUGAAUUGUUGGUUAGUGUUAGCACAGGUGCCACAUCGCUAUCCCAAGCAGGGAACUAGCAUAGAACAAAACAAAAAGUUAGUUUUUGUUGUUGGUUCUGCAAAUAAUAUUAAGCUGACUAAAUUAUUUAUGCUCAAUCUAAUUAAAGCAAAAAUAUUUAUGGGUUUUAUUAGCUGCUACAUGAAAUACAGUGAAAAAAGGUUAACUAUUUCAUAAACGUAUGAAAUUCUGUAUAAAGUAACAUUUUAAAAAGUUUAAAAAAAAACUCUACUCUACUACAGUUCAGUACAAUGUAUUUCAUUUGCUACAUGCAACAGGAAAACGUAUUUUACUUGUGUGAGUGUGAGAAUACCUGUUGC